rnacentral:rRNA from 1 species
GGUUAAGCGAACAAGCGUACACGGUGGAUGCCCUGGCAGUCAGAGGCGAUGAAGGACGUGCUAAUCUGCGAAAAGCGCCGGUAAGGUGAUAUGAACCGUUAUAACCGGCGAUGUCCGAAUGGGGAAACCCGGUGCACUUCGGUGCAUCAUCGUUAGCUGAAUACAUAGGCUAACGAGGCGAACCGGGGGAACUGAAACAUCUAAGUACCCCGAGGAAAAGAAAUCAACCGAGAUUCCCCCAGUAGCGGCGAGCGAACGGGGAACAGCCCAGAGCCUGAAUCAGCUUGUGUGUCAGUGGAACGGUCUGGAAAGGCCGGCGAUACAGGGUGACAGCCCCGUACACGAAGGCACACAGGCUGUGAGCUCGAUGAGUAGGGCGGGACACGUGAUAUCCUGUCUGAAGAUGGGGGGACCAUCCUCCAAGGCUAAAUACUCCUGACUGACCGAUAGUGAACCAGUACCGUGAGGGAAAGGCGAAAAGAACCCCGGCGAGGGGAGUGAAACAGAACCUGAAACCGUGUACGUACAAGCAGUGGGAGCCUUCGUAAGAGGGUGACUGCGUACCUUUUGUAUAAUGGGUCAGCGACUUAUAUUCUGUAGCAAGGUUAACCGUAUAGGGGAGCCGAAGGGAAACCGAGUCUUAACCGGGCGUUAAGUUGCAGGGUAUAGACCCGAAACCCGGUGAUCUAGCCAUGGGCAGGUUGAAGGUUGGGUAACACUAACUGGAGGACCGAACCGACUAAUGUUGAAAAAUUAGCGGAUGACCUGUGGCUGGGGGUGAAAGGCCAAUCAAACCGGGAGAUAGCUGGUUCUCCCCGAAAGCUAUUUAGGUAGCGCCUCGUGAACUCAUCUCCGGGGGUAGAGCACUGUUUCGGCUAGGGGGCCAUCCCGGCUUACCAACCCGAUGCAAACUGCGAAUACCGGAGAAUGUUAUCACGGGAGACACACGGCGGGUGCUAACGUCCGUCGUGAAGAGGGAAACAACCCAGACCGCCAGCUAAGGUCCCAAAGUCAUGGUUAAGUGGGAAACGAUGUGGGAAGGCCCAGACAGCCAGGAUGUUGGCUUAGAAGCAGCCAUCAUUUAAAGAAAGCGUAAUAGCUCACUGGUCGAGUCGGCCUGCGCGGAAGAUGUAACGGGGCUAAACCAUGCACCGAAGCUGCGGCAGCGACGCUUAUGCGUUGUUGGGUAGGGGAGCGUUCUGUAAGCCUGUGAAGGUGUGCUGUGAGGCAUGCUGGAGGUAUCAGAAGUGCGAAUGCUGACAUAAGUAACGAUAAAGCGGGUGAAAAGCCCGCUCGCCGGAAGACCAAGGGUUCCUGUCCAACGUUAAUCGGGGCAGGGUGAGUCGACCCCUAAGGCGAGGCCGAAAGGCGUAGUCGAUGGGAAACAGGUUAAUAUUCCUGUACUUGGUGUUACUGCGAAGGGGGGACGGAGAAGGCUAUGUCGGCCGGGCGACGGUUGUCCCGGUUUAAGCGUGUAGGCUGACUUUCCAGGCAAAUCCGGAAAGUUAAGGCUGAGGCGUGAUGACGAGGCACCACGGUGCUGAAGUGACAAAUGCCCUGCUUCCAGGAAAAGCCUCUAAGCAUCAGGUAACAUCAAAUCGUACCCCAAACCGACACAGGUGGUCAGGUAGAGAAUACCAAGGCGCUUGAGAGAACUCGGGUGAAGGAACUAGGCAAAAUGGUGCCGUAACUUCGGGAGAAGGCACGCUGACAUGUAGGUGAAGCCCCUGCGGGUGGAGCUGAAGUCAGUCGAAGAUACCAGCUGGCUGCAACUGUUUAUUAAAAACACAGCACUGUGCAAACACGAAAGUGGACGUAUACGGUGUGACGCCUGCCCGGUGCCGGAAGGUUAAUUGAUGGGGUUAUCGCAAGAGAAGCUCCUGAUCGAAGCCCCGGUAAACGGCGGCCGUAACUAUAACGGUCCUAAGGUAGCGAAAUUCCUUGUCGGGUAAGUUCCGACCUGCACGAAUGGCGUAAUGAUGGCCAGGCUGUCUCCACCCGAGACUCAGUGAAAUUGAACUCGCUGUGAAGAUGCAGUGUACCCGCGGCAAGACGGAAAGACCCCGUGAACCUUUACUACAGCUUGACACUGAACAUUGAGCCUUGAUGUGUAGGAUAGGUGGGAGGCUUUGAAGCGUGGACGCCAGUCUGCGUGGAGCCGACCUUGAAAUACCACCCUUUAAUGUUUGAUGUUCUAACCUGGCGCCGUGAUCCGGCGUGGGGACAGUGUCUGGUGGGUAGUUUGACUGGGGCGGUCUCCUCCCAAAGUGUAACGGAGGAGCACGAAGGUCAGCUAAUCCUGGUCGGACAUCAGGAGGUUAGUGCAAUGGCAUAAGCUGGCUUGACUGCGAGAGUGACGGCUCGAGCAGGUGCGAAAGCAGGUCAUAGUGAUCCGGUGGUUCUGUAUGGAAGGGCCAUCGCUCAACGGAUAAAAGGUACUCCGGGGAUAACAGGCUGAUACCGCCCAAGAGUUCAUAUCGACGGCGGUGUUUGGCACCUCGAUGUCGGCUCAUCACAUCCUGGGGCUGAAGUAGGUCCCAAGGGUAUGGCUGUUCGCCAUUUAAAGUGGUACGCGAGCUGGGUUUAGAACGUCGUGAGACAGUUCGGUCCCUAUCUGCCGUGGGCGCUGGAGAAUUGAGGGGGGCUGCUCCCAGUACGAGAGGACCGGAGUGGACGCAUCACUGGUGUUCGGGUUGUCAUGCCAAUGGCACUGCCCGGUAGCUAAAUGCGGAAGAGAUAAGUGCUGAAAGCAUCUAAGCACGAAACUUGCCCCGAGAUGAGUUCUCCCUGAGACUAUAAGUCUCCUGAAGGAACGUUGAAGACGACGACGUUGAUAGGCCGGGUGUGUAAGCGCAGCGAUGCGUUGAGCUAACCGGUACUAAUGAACCGUGAGGCUUAACCUU